CUACCCCUAAAAGCCAAAAUGGGAAAGGAAAAGACUCAUAUCAACAUUGUCGUCAUUGGACACGUAGAUUCAGGCAAGUCCACCACUACUAGCCAUCUAAUCUACAAAUUCAGUGGCAUCAACAAAAGAACCACUGAAAAAUUUGAAAAGGAGGCUGCUGAGAUGGGAAAGGGCUCCUUCAAGUAUGCCUGGGUCUUGGAUAAACUGAAAGCCGAGCGUGAACGUAGUAUCACCAUUGAUAUCUCCUUGUGGAAAUUCGAGACCAGCAAGUACUAAGUACUAUCAUUGAUUUCCCAGGACACAGAGACUUCAUCAAAAACAUGAUUACAGGGACAUCUCAGGCUGACUGUGCUGUCCUGAUUGUCGCUGCUGGUGUUGGUGAAUUCGAAGCUGGUAUCUCCAAGAAUGGGUAGACCCAAGAACAUGCCCUCCUGGCUUACACACUAGGUGUGAAACAACUAAUUGUUGGUGUUAACAAAAUGGAUUCCACUGAACCUCCCUACAGCCAGAAGAGAUAUGAGGAAAUCGUUAAGGAAGUCAGCAUUUACAUUAAGAAAAUUGGCUACAACCCCAACACAGCAGCAUUUGUGCCAAUUUCUGGUUGGAAUGGUGACAACAUGCUGGAGCCAACUGCUAACAUGCCUUGGUUCAAGGGUUGGAAAGUCACCCAUAAGAAUGGCAAUGCCAGCGGGACUACACUGCUUGAGGCUCUGGACAGCAUCCUACUACCAACUAGUCCAACUGACAAGCCCUUGCGCCUGCCUCUCCAUGAUGUCUAUAAAAUUGGUGGUAUUGGUACUGUUCCUGUUGGUCGAGUGGAGACUGGUGUUCUUAAACCUGGUACGGUGGUCAUCUUUGCUCCAGUCAACGUUACAACUGAAGUGAAAUCUGUUGAAAUGCACCAUGAAGCUUUGAGUGAAGCUCUUCCUGGGGAUAAUGUGGGCUUCAGUGUCAAGAAUGUGUCUGUCAAGGAUGUUUGUCAUGGCAACGUUGCUGGUGACAGCAAGAACGACCCACCAAUGGAAGCAGCUGGCUUUACUGCUCAGGUGAUUAUCCUGAACCAUCCAGGCCAAAUCAGUGCUGGCUAUGCCCCUGUACUGGAUUGCCACAUGGCUCACAUCGCAUGCAAGUUUGCUGAGCUGAAGGAAAACAUUGAUCUCCAUUCUGGCAAACAGCUGGAAGAUGGCCCUAAGUUCUUGAAGUCUGGUGAUGCUGCCAUCAUUGAUAUGGUUCCUGGCAAGCCCAUGUGUGAGAGCUUUUCAGACUACCCACCUCUGGGUCGCUUUGCUGUUCGUGAUAUGAGACAGACAGUUGCCGUGGGUGUCAUCAAAGCAGUGGACAAGAAGGCUGCUGGAGCUGGCAAGGUCACCAAGUCUGCCCAGAAAGCUCAGAAGGCUAAAUGAAUAUUAUCUCUAAUACCUGCCACCUCAGUCUUAAUCAGUGGUGGAGGAAGAACAGUUUCAGAACUGUUUGUUUCAAUUGGCCAUUUAAGUUUAGUAGUAAAAGACUGGUUAAUGAUAACAAUGCAUCAUAAAACCUUCAGGAGGAAAAGAGAAUGUUUUGUGGACCACUUUGGUUUUCUUUUUUGCGUGUGACAGUUUUAAGUUAUUAGUUUUUGAAAUCAGUACUUUUUAAUGGAAACAACUUGACCAAAAAUUUGUCACAGAAUUUUGAGACCCAUUAAAAAAGUUUAAUGAG